rnacentral:rRNA from 1 species
CUAAAACCUCAACUUCGGAAGGGGUGUAUUUAUUAGAUAAAAAACCAAUGCCCUUCGGGGCUCCCUGGUGNUUCAUAAUAACUAAACGAAUCGCAUGGCCUUGCGCCGGCGAUGGUUCAUUCAAAUUUCUGCCCUAUCAACUUUCGAUGGUAGGAUAGUGGCCUACCAUGGUGGCAACGGGUAACGGGGAAUUAGGGUUCUAUUCCGGAGAGGGAGCCUGAGAAACGGCUACCACAUCCAAGGAAGGCAGCAGGCGCGCAAAUUACCCAAUCCCGACACGGGGAGGUAGUGACAAUAAAUACUGAUGUGGAGYUCUUUAGGGUUUCACAAUUGGAAUGAGAAAAAUCUAAACCACUUAAACRAGGAACAAUUGGAGGGCAAGUCUGGUGCCAGCAGCCGCGGUAAUUCCAGCUCCAAUAGCGUAUAUUAAAGUUGUUGCAGUUAAAAAGCUCGUAGUUGAACCUUGGGCCUGGCCGGCCGGUCCGCCUCACCGCGUGCACUGGUUCGGCCGGGCCUUUCCUCCUGGGGAACCGCAUGCCCUUUAYUGGGUGUGCCGGGGAAUCAGGACUUUUACUUUGAAAAAAUUAGAGUGUUCAAAGCAGGCAUUUGYUCGAAUACAUUAGCAUGGAAUAAUAGAAUAGGACGUUGUGGUUCUAUUUUUGUUGGUUUCU